AAUGAACGCUGGCGGUAGGCCUAACACAUGCGAGUCGAACGGCAGCACAGUAAGAGCUUGCUCUUACGGGUGGCGAGUGGCGGACGGGUGAGGAAUACAUCGGAAUCUACUUUUUCGUGGGGGAUAACGUAGGGAAACUUACGCUAAUACCGCAUACGACCUACGGGUGAAAGCAGGGGAUCUUCGGACCUUGCGCGAUUGAAUGAGCCGAUGUCGGAUUAGCUAGUUGGCGGGGUAAAGGCCCACCAAGGCGACGAUCCGUAGCUGGUCUGAGAGGAUGAUCAGCCACACUGGAACUGAGACACGGUCCAGACUCCUACGGGAGGCAGCAGUGGGGAAUAUUGGACAAUGGGCGCAAGCCUGAUCCAGCCAUACCGCGUGGGUGAAGAAGGCCUUCGGGUUGUAAAGCCCUUUUGUUGGGAAAGAAAAGCAGCAGGUUAAUACCCCGCUGUUCUGACGGUACCCAAAGAAUAAGCACCGGCUAACUUCGUG
rnacentral:rRNA from 1 species